UAACCACUGGCCACACAGAUCUGACUUCACAAGUUGAGCUAUCAUGUACCGAGGCCCAAGAAUUGUUCAGUUUAGAAGGAACAGAAUUUCUUCAAAGGUGAAAUUUUUAAAUGACUCUGCAAUGUGGGCCAUCUUAAGGGAGAAGCAGCUCUUUUGCACUCACAUAGAAUGCCCUAAAACCAAGAAUCUAUUCUUAGAGAUAAGCAUAUCUAAGUGAAAGAUGAAUAUGAUUGCAGUCAAGAUUCUGAGGCCAGAAUCAAGAUAUCCUUAUUACCUCCACCAUCACUGUCUGUCACUUAAUGUAUCUGGCUGGGGAUAAGAACUACCAAGAAUGCAAUAAAAAGAAGAACACCUAAACCUCUGAGUUAAUUGACCUACUCACUUUUCACAGAUGAAUGAGACAAGAAUGAGUUCAGAAAAUAUGUGCAGUGAAUGGAUGACUGAGAAAAUAAAGAUUAAAAAAAGACAUUUCAUUAGAUUUUCAGAGACUUAUCAUCUGGGUGGAAGAAGCUACAGGAAAAUGGUGUUCCACCAAUGGCAUUUUGUGUAGAGACUGAGGAACACCAAUGCCAAUUUAAAGCCUGGAGUAUAAUUUCUCAGUUGUUGCUCCAUGGAGAUGAAGGGACAUUGCUUCGUACUCUCUGGCUUCAAUGAUGGGAAUUCUUCCUUAAGAAACGUGGAUCACUGAUGUCAAAAUUGAACUUCAUUGGCUUCAAGCCAGCAUUAUUGCUCUCCUCCUUGUUCCCUGAAGAUGCCAAGGUCUGUGGCCUCAUAUAUCCACGCUUGGCAACUAAGUUACAUCAACUCUCCAGAAGCAAUUAAGAAAUUGAUCCAGCUACCCGAAACCCUAAACAGAUGAAUUGUGUGUCAGACAGAGCAAAUCACUUAUUUAC